GCGUUGUUCCACAAAACAAAGGUGGCGCCACUGGUAAGAAGAGAUCUCUCAGGCGUCCAGAGUUCUGACUUGAGCAGUGGUCUUGUGCAGCCGCCUCAAACUUAUGACCUGACCAUGGAAAAAAUUAUUAAUGAGAGCCAGACUGAAAGUUCCAAUUCCCUUCGCCGCUUCCCAAC